rnacentral:lncRNA from 1 species
UUUUUUUCUUUUCCUUCAUAUGGUCCUUUCAUUUCUUACAAAUUUUGUGUCUCAUUGGGGCACCAAUCUGUACGAUUUCACUCCCCGGAAAACAUGUCUUACGACGAGUGUUUCUUAUACCUUGUCCUUUUGCUCAACUUUAAGAAUUCUUACUUGGAGUAAUUUGAUAAGGUUCCAAUUUAGCCAUAUCUUAAAUGGGAAUAAAACAGAAAUAUGAUUAAUACAAUUUAAUGAGACAACAUGUCACAAAUUUCUCGUAAAAGGCAAGCAACUUCUUAAAGAACAUAAAGACUAAAUGAAUAAACAAUACCAACAAAAUCCUAAAAGGAAACAUUUUCUUUUUUCAAAAGAAUAAUCCUAAAUAAGACACAAAUCUCACCAUUCAAAAAAAUGUUUUUUUCCAGCCCAAUUCAAAAAUUCAUAUCUCACUCGUUUCAAAUCUAUUUUUUUAAUUAUCAUAUAUUUUCAGAAAGCUAAAAAAAGAGUAGAUCUUGGAAAUAUAUGUUUCGGUCAAAAAAACUAUAUUCUCAAUUUCAAAAUCGCUACAAAUAGAAGUUUUUAUUCGAAAAGCAGUAAAAAAACUUUCAAAAAUUCACAUCUCACUCGUUUUAAAUCCAUUUUUAAAAUAAUAUAUUUUCGUAAAGCACCAAACUAGUAAAUAAUGAGAAAUUAUGUUUUGAUCAAAAUUAUUGAACAAAAAAUUUUCAGAUUGCUACAAACAAAAGCAAUUAAUUUUUUACAAAAUUUCUUUCUUUAUAGAACAAGGAAUCCUAUCUACAUUAUGAGUCAUAAUCAAAUAGGAUUUUGAAUCUUAUUUAUCAUAUAUUUAAUCCACAUUCAAAUGGUUUAAAAAUAACUUAACAUUCUUCAAUUUGUUUUUCUCUAUUCAGUGAUUUUCAAGAAAAAAUAGUCAUAAAUUAUUUGUUAUCAACAAUACAGUGAAACUACAUGUAAGUAGCUAAUUAUGGAAUAAUUAAUGAUGGUUCUAAUAUCAAUGAAUGAAUUGUAAAGCUAAAACAACAACAAGAUGUGUACCUUAUGACUUGUAGCAGAAAUAUUUAUCAAUUUUUUUUUGAAAAAAUUGUUCCAGAUCACUCUUUAAAGCUCAAUGAAAUAAAUAUUGAUCUUUGUUCACAAACUAAGAGUCUCCUAAGAAUGUUGACUGAAUUGUGUAAGAAUCUUACUCUGAAACAGAUCCCUUGUUUUUUUUGUUUCUCACGAUUUUACUCUCCUCGAUUUUUAAGUUUCACGUUCUUGAAAAGUUACACUCAAUUGGAGUCUUUUGAGGGGAGGUUGAGCAGUUACAAAGUAAUUGUUCUACCUUAUCAUUUUAAAAGAAGUAUCCUAUUAAUUAAUUAAAACAGAUAGGAAAAAAAGAUAUUGUAAUAUCGGGUGACCCAAAAUAUUUAGGAUUAAACAAAGAAAUUAAGAAUGGCUAUUUUUGGAAAGAAUAGUAGAAAUCUUGAAAAUUUUCUAAGUGUAAAAGUGAGUUUUUGGUCUUUUUCAAAUGAUCAUAACUUAUAUCUCAGGAUGAGUUAAGGUCAUUUCAUUAUAUAGUUGGAAAUACCUUGAAGAUAUCUUUUCAACGCUGCCGAGUAUGCGUAUUUUUGAUAUCGUACAAGGAAGAUAAGCCUAUCGGAAGUUGAUUUGUUGGAUUGAGGAAAGUCUAAUCCGGAUUUUAGUAAGGUUAAAAGGUCCUUUCACCCUACUAUUUCCCAAUUUAUUUUAAGGGUUUAUUAGGGGUAAAUUAAACCUUAAAUAAGUUUUAGAAAAUUGAAAUACGCUUAGGGCUUGGGAGAAAAGAGAAAAGAGAAGAGAGAAGGUGAAAGGAGAAAAGACCAAGAAUUCAUUAAGAACACCAAGAUCGUUGAGUGAAAUUCAUUGAGGGUGACCCCUAUUAUGGUAUAUGAGAUAUUUCUGUGUUUGAUUCGUUCACCCACACACCAACAUGUUUAAUUCAACGAGUUUUGAAUAAAUUGAAUGAUGAAUUUUGAUGUUCUUGAUGAACAAUUGUUGAAUUCUUGUUGAUUUAGUUGUAGCAUGCCUUUAGUCGAUAUGAUUCAUGUUUCUGGAUUGAUUUUCGAGUCAAAUCUAUUGGGUAUUGAGGUUAUUACUGAUCCUAAGAUAUUGGGGUGAGUUCCAUGGAGGUUUGAAGGUUUAGAGAUGAAAAACAGAGCAGAAAAGUCAGAAUUCACGUCUGACUUACCCUGGGCGCUGCGCUUGCUAGAUCCCCUUAGAGAAGGCUCUAUCUGACAGGCCCUAGUGCAUCGUGCCAGCCAAAGCGCCUCCAACUAGAGUAUGUCUGUCAGGCUCUGGCGCUCCGUUCCUCUCAGAGUGCCAAGGUGACCUGGAGACCCCAUUCUUUUCCUAUCUUUUCGUACUAGUUCCCAAGUGAUGUACCCACACUUCUUAGUUGAUUCUAACACUCUAAGGUACAUAUAAACAUUAAGAAUUCAUCCAUAAACAUGAAUCAUGAAACUUUAAUCCAUAACUUAAUUCAAGGAAAGUUAGGAUCAAAGUCAAGAAAGUUAAAAAGUCAAGUCUAAAGCUAUGAAGUAAGUUAAGAUGGAGUUUCUUAAGGUUUCUAAUAGUCUUAUUUAAACAUUUUUACUUCGUUUUGAGUCUCAAGCUUCGAUUUAAAGAAAGAGUAAGAGUGGAAGUCUAUCCUUCAAUGAAAUUUAAGGAAACCAAGUAAUUCUUAAAGAGUUGAUUAAUAUCAAAAGUUUUAUCUCAAGUAAAGAGUAAAAAGUUGAGUUCAUUUAUAAAACUAUAUAAGGGAACUAAGCAUUCCCCUUGAAGUUUAUAAAUGUUUUUACAUUUAAGUUUAGAGGAAACUGAGAUUUCCUAAUAGAGUUUUGAACAAGAAAAAGGAACAUUGAUUCCAAGAGGGGUUUUUAAAGCUAAAAAGGGUUGAGCAAAUUAUCUCAACCUUCAGGAAGGAACCUAUUCUAAAAGCAUGAGCUAAAGUAAUUUUGAGAGUAUUAUUGAGCACCAAUGUGGGGACGGGAGUUCAUAUUAACUCAAGUCUCCAGGUAAACCUUGUAGCCAUCAUGGAUAUUAACUAGUCAUACUUUUUAGAUGAUCACAUAAAUUUAGAGAGUGUAUACACUAGGCUGAGGAUGUUCAAUGCGACGACAAAAUAUAACACAGUUUUGGCAGUGUGGGAAAGAUACUAGAUCACUACUUAGGCUCAUACUGGUGGUUUUCGGUUAGAGAAACUCCCACAAAACUAUAUUACUUUCAUGUAUAAGUAAAGUUGAGUUUGCUACUGCAUUUUCUUUGAAGAAUUGAUUUGCAUUAUUAUUUUACAAGCUUAUAUAUAUAGCAUCUGUUUAAAUUGCUUUAUAUACAUAUAUUGUGUUGACUAAUUUUUGAGUUGAGUAGAACCAAGGUAAGUUCAUCUUAUUCUCAUCAAGCUUAAGUUGUUGUUUAGCAUUCCAACUUGCAUACUCGUACAUUAAAUGUACUGACGUCAGUUGGCCUGCAUCGUCUUAUGAUGCAGACAUAGAUAACUUGGAUCAACAUCCAAGGCCUUGUUGAUCCAGUUUGAGCAUCUAGAGUUAGUGGUGAUCCUCCUUGCUUUCAGAGGACCUUUUAUUUCUUUCAGUACUUUCCUUAUAGAAUGUUCAGGGGUUUGUCCUAACAUUCGUCCUAGUUAUUUUAGACAUAGCCAGUGAUAUUGUUCAAUUUGAGUCUCUUCUUAUCUUACAUUUCAUAUGUUCAAAUAUUGAGACUUAAGUUCCAUUUUGUCCAAGAGAAUUAUUAAAAGUAUUUCUCAUGAGAAUGUUUCCAAUUUUAUAAUGGAGUUAAGUUAAGUCUUCCAUUAAGUUGAGUAAGUAAGUCCAAGGGUUCACUCAAGACCAACAAUGAUCAUUGGGUACUGGUCACGUACAAAGUGUAGGUUCAAGGCGUUCCAAUUAUAGUAUCGGAGCACAAUGUUCAAGAGUCCUGGGGAGUCUAUGAAGACGUGUUCGUAGAGUCUUAGUCAUUGGUGUGAUGUGCGCCACAUCUAUGAUUAGUAGGCUGUGACAUUUAGGUAUUUCUUCACUUCUUUCAUAUUCUUUUUUCGUGCUUAGAGUUUAUCUCUAAAAAGUUCCCCCUAUUUGUUCUUGCAUGAGUUUCAUGAUCAUAAUGCUCCACAAAGAGCAGUUAGAGGUCGACUAGCAAUAAGGAAUGUUGUGGAACCAGAGGUACCUAAUGCACCAAAUGAGCAACCUCAAGGGGAAGUCACCAAUUCUAAGUUUCGCAAAGGCUAUUCAAAUGCUAAGCCAAACGGUGACUAACCAAGUCGGGCAACAAAGUGGAGGUCGAUAAGAAGGGGAUGGAACUUUGAGGAUUCGGGAUUUCUUGAGGAUAAAUCCCCCAAGUUUCACUGGUUUGAGUACUACUGAGGAUCUGGAGAACUUUGUCGAAAAGUUGAAGAAGGUAUUCAAUGUGAUGCAUGUGAUUGAUGCUGAGAGAGUUGAACAAGCCGAAUAUCAACUCCAGAAUUUAGCUAGGACUUGGUUCGAUUAGUGGAAGGAGGGAAGAGAUGAGGAUGCACCACAUCUGAGUUUGACUUGCUUUGAAGAAGCUUUCUUGGGGUUUUUCUUCCCCGGUAACUGAAGGAAGCAAAGUUACCAGAGUUCCUUACUCUGAAAUAGAACUCUUUGAACGUUUAUUAAUAUUGGUUGAAGUUGACCCUGUUGUCUCGCUAUUCUCCUAAGAUGGUUAAGUAUAUAAGGAGUAGAAUGAGCUUGUUUGUAGCUGGCUUGGUUCGUGCUUCAAUCAAAGAAGGUAGGGCUGCAAUGUUGAUUGGGGACAUGGACAUUUCAAGGUUAAUGGUUUAUGUGCAACAAGUUGAAGAACAAAAUCUGAAGGAUAGAGAGGAGUACAGGAACAAGAAAGCUAUGACGGGGAAUGAAUUUGGUCAACAGAAGGGUGGUUCAAGGUUGACCACAAUUUCAUAAACAAAAGGGGCAUGAACUAUCAUACUAGUGCACCUACGCCCAGAAACAAAGUUGAGUAUAAUAAUCAGAAUCUUAAGGCUAGACCAUCCCAAUCAGUGUGGCAUAAAGAGAAAGUUGGGCUCCUAUAUGUGCUAAGUGUUGUACAAAUCACCCUGGUAAAUGUCGUGAUGGCCAGGAAGGUUUCUUCAUGAGUGGUCAAGAGGGUUACUUCAUGAGAAAGUGCCCUAAGAAUAAGCAAGGUGGUGGAAAUCCAUGAAAUAGAGCUCAAUAUUCAUCAGUUUCUCCACUAGACAAGGCUGCACCUAAAGGAACCACGUCUGGUAGUGACAGAGGGGCAUACUGUUUCUAUGUAAUCACUAUGAACCAAAAGCAAGAAAAUUUGCUAGAUGUUGUCACAGGUAUGAUUAAAGCCUUUACUUUUGAUGUUUGUGCUUUGUUAGACCCAAAAUCAAGUUUAUCUUUUGUAACUCUUUAUGUUAUAAAUCAGUUUGAGAUUCAUCCUAAGAAACAUUAUAAACCUUUCUGUGUUUCUGCUCCUAUUGGAGAGUCUAUUCUAGAGGAAAAAGUAUAUCGUGAUUAUCCUAUCUUUAUCAAUCACAAGAACACCAUGGGUGACCUAGUAGAGUUGGACAUGGUAGAUUUUUAUGUUAUUCUAGGUAUGGACUGACUCCAUGCUAAUUAUGCGUCAAUAGAUUGUAGAACUCAAAUUGUCAAGUUUUAAGUUCCUAAUGAGCCAUUCAUAGAGUGGAGUAGUAGUUCAGCAGUGCUUAAAGUUCAUUUUAUUUCGUACCUAAGGGCAAGUAAGUUAGUUUCAAAGGGGUAUAUCUAUCACUUAGUCUGAGUUAGUGAUUCAAGUGCUGAGGUACCUUUUAUUCAGUCAGUUCCUAUAGUAAAGGAAUUUCCAGAAGUUUUUCUUGACGAUUUACCUGGAGUCCCUCAUGAGAGAGAGAUAGAAAUCGACAUAGAUAUCAUUCCAGAUACUUGUCUUAUCUCUAUUCUGCCAUAUAGAAUGGCACCAGCAGAGUUGAAAGAGCAACUGAAACAUCUAUUAGAUAAAUGUUUUAUUUGACCAAGUGCCUCAUCCUGGGGCGCUCCGGUCUUAUUUAUGUGGAACAACGAUGGUUCCCUUAGGAUGUGUAUAGACUACCGCAAAUUUAAUAAGGUGACCAUCAAGAAUAAGUAUCCUCUUCCUAGGAUAGAUGAUCUUUUCGACCAGCUUCAGGGUGCUUCUUGCUUCUCAAAAAUUAAUCUCAGAUUAGGCAACCAUCAGCUAAAAGUUAGGGAAAAUGCUAUUCCAAAGACAACUUUUAUAACUAGAUAUGAGCAUUAUGAAUUUUUAGUUAUGUCUUUUGGUUUGACCAAUGAGCCUGCAACAUUCAUGGAUCUUAUGAACAAAGUUUUCAACCUUAUUUAGAUCUGUUUUUCAUCAUCUUCGUUGAUGACAUACUGGUUUAUUCAAGGAAUGAAGAAUAUCAUGCUAGCACCACAAGAUUGUUCACUAGACUUUGAAAGAUAAGGAGCUAUAUACCAAGUUCUCAAAGUGUGAGUUUCAUCUUAAGUCUUUGGAAUUCUUGGGCCACAUUGUUUCCAAUGAUGGGAUUAGAGUUGAUACCAAAAGAUAGAAGCAGUUUAUAGUUGUCCUAGACCCACAUCUCCAACAGAUAUAAGGAGUUUCUUGGGUUUGAAUUGAUAUUAUAGUAGAUUUUUUGAAGGGUUUUCAUUUACAUCGUCUCCCUUUACCAAGAUAACUUAGAAGACAGUCAAGUUUCAAUGGUCUGAAGCUUGUGAGAAAAGCUUUCAGAAAUUGAAAAAGAGAUUAACUGCCGCUCCACUUUUAACCUUACUGGAGGGCACUCAAGGUUAUGUGGUGUACUGUGAUGCGUCAAAAGUUUGUUUGGUCUAUGUGUUAAUGUAGAAUGGCAAGGUUAUAGCUUAUGCCUCCAUACAGUUAAAGGUCCAUGAGAGGAAUUAUCUAACUCACGACUUAGAAUUGGCUAUAGUAGUUUUUGCGUUUGAAGAUAUGGUGUCACUACUUGUAUGGUGUUCAUGUUGACAUAUUCACUGAUCACAAGAUCCUCUAAUAUGUUUUCACUUAGAAAGAGGUAAUUGGAUGUGGUUUUAUGACAUCAAUAUUCUUUACCACUUAGGUAAGGCUAAUGUGGUUGCUGAUGCCUUAAGAAGGUUAUCCAUGUGGAGUACUACCCAUGUUGAGGGAGAAAAAAAGGGAGUUAGCUAAGAAUGUGCACAAACUUGCACGCCUGGAAGUCGGACUUAUCGAUUCCACAGAAGGAGGAAGAGUGGUGGCCAAUGGGCCCGAGUCAUCAUUAUUGUCAAAGGUGAAAGAGAAAUAAGACCAAAAUCCUAUUUUACUUGACUUGAAGGAAAAUAUUCAUAAGCAAAGAGUAUUAGCUUCUAAAGUAUCAAGUUAGGUUGUAUGUACCUAGGGUGGAUAGACUCCAAGAGAGGAUCCUGGAGGACACUAAUAGCUCCAUAUAUUCCAUUCAUCGGGGUUUCACCAAGAUGUACCAUAAUUUGAGAAAAGUAUAUUGGUGGGAAGGCAUCGAGAAAGAUAAUGUUGAGUUUGUUUCCAAAUGCCCGCAUUGCCAACAAGUUAAAGUGGAACACCAAAAGCCUAGAGGGUUGGAUGGAAGUGGGUGAUGAUUAACGUGUACGUCAUCACAGGCUUGCCAAGGUCUCACAGGCAUCAUGAUUCUAUUUGGUUGAUUGUCGAUAGAAUGACAAAGUCAACCCAUUAUUUGCCGGUAAGGACUACCUAUUCGACCAAGGAUUAUGUUAAGUCGUACGUAUAAGAAGUUGUAAGACUUCAUGGAUUCUCAGUCUCUAUUUUUUCAGAUAGAGGUGCACAAUUUACUGCUCAGUUUUGGAAGUCUUUCUAGAAAAGUUUGGGUUCGAAGGUGAACUCAAGUGGUGGUUCAUCCUUAGACGGAUGGACAAACAGCGUACCAUCCACAACCUUAGAUUAUAUGUGAGAGCUUGUGUGAUUUGUUUCAAAGGGAAUUGGGAUGAUCACAUACCUCUCAUUGAGUUCGUUUAUGAUAAUAGCUACCAUUCGAGCAUUCAAAUGACUCCAUACAAAUCUCUUUAUGAAGAAGAUUCAGAUCUCCUAUUGGGUGGUUAGAAGCUUGUGAAGCAAGGUUGAUAGGACCAAAGCUAGUUCAACAAGAUAUGGAGAAGGUGAAAGUGAUUCAACAGAGAUUGAAAGUGGCAUAGAGUCGCCAAAAGUACUACAUUGAUGUUAGGAGAAAGCCGUUAGAGUUUGAAGUAGAUGAUUAGGUGUAUAUGAAAGUUUCACCAAUGAAGGGUGUUAUGAGGUUUGGUAACAAAGAAAAAAUUGGUCCCAGUAAUUGGUCCUUACAGAAUCUCCAAGAAAGUUGGCAAUGUAGGAUAUGAGUUUGAGUUACCUCUAAACAUAGAAGUGGUUCACCCGGUAUUCCAUGUAUCUAUGUUGAAGAAAUGCUUGGGUUAUCCUUCAUUGAUUGUACCAACUAAGAAUGUUGGGGUUAAGGAUAGCUUAUCUUAUGAACAAGUUACGGUUGACAUUCUAGAUUCCCAAGUUCUCAAGUUGAGAACUAAGGAAGUUUCAUCAGUUAAGGUCUUUUGGAGAAAUCAAUUUGUUGAGGAAGCAACUUGGGAAGGUGAAGAGGAUAUGAACAAAAGAUAUCCAUAUCUCUUUGAAUCUGGAGAAAAUGUAUAUCAAGGUACUAAAUUCUCUUCUGAUCACUCUAUAAGACUAUGCGUAAGUAUGAUAUUACUUGCUUUUGUUUGUUGACUGAUGAGAUCAUGUUACUAUCCUUAGCUUAGUGAAAGAGUUCUCAUUCGAAGACGAAUAUUCCCAAGGGGGAGAUAUUGUAACAUCUCAUAACCCGAAAUAGCUAGGACUAAACAAAGAAACUAAGAAUGGUUAUUUUGAAAAGAAUAGGAGAAAUUUUGAAAAUUUCCUUAGUGUACAAGUGAAUUUUCACAUCAAUUUCAAACGGCCAUAACUUCUAGCUCAGGAUGAGUUAGGGUCAUUUCUUUAUAUAUUUGGAAAUCCCGUGAAUAUAUAUUUCCAACACCACUGAUAAUUCAUCAAGAACACCAAGAUCGUUGAGUGGAAUUCGUCAGGGGUGAUCCUAUUAAGGUAUGUGAGAUCUGUCUAUGUUGUUUCUCGAAUCGAAUUUAUUGGGUAUUGAAGUUAUUAGUGAUUCUAAGUGAGUAGGGUGAGAUCCAUAAAAUUUUACAAGGUUUAGAGAUUAAAAAAACAGAGAAAAAAAGUCAGAAUUCCUGUCCUGCAGACCCUGGGGCGCCUCGCCUGCCAGAUCCCCUCAGGGCAAGCUCUCCCUAACCGGCCAUGGCGUGCUGCGCCAGCCAAAAUGCCUCAGUCAGGGUCUGUCCGUCAGGCUUUGGCGCUCCGCGCCUCUUAGAGCGCCAAGGUCACCUGGACACCCCGUUCUUUUCCUAUGUUUUUGUACUAGUUCCAAGUGAUGUACCCACACUUCUUAGUUAACUCCAACACUCUAAGGUACAUCUAAAUAUCAUGAAUCAUCUAUAAAAAUGAAAUAUGAACCUUGAAUAUAUAAUUAAAUUCAAGGAAGGUUAGGAACAAAGUCAAGGAAGUUAAGAAGUCAACUUUAAAUCUAUGAAGUAAGUUAAAGUAGAAUUUCUUAAGGUUUCCAAUAGUCUUAUUUAAACGUUUUGACAUCGUUUUAAGACUCAAGCUUCAAGUUAAAGAAAGAGUAAGAGUUGAAAUCUAUCCUUCAAAGAAAUAUAAGGGAACUAAGUAUUCCCUAAAGAGUUGAUUAAUAUCAAAAGUUUCAAGUCAAGCAAAGAGUAAAGAGUUACAUACAUUUCUCAAAAGAUAUAAGGGAAUUAAGUAUUUCCUAGAAAGUUUGUAAAUGUUUUUACAUUUAAAUUAAGAGGAAAAUAAUAUUUCCCAAUAGAGUUUUGAACAAGAAAAUGUAAAAUUGAUUCCAAGAGGGAUUUUUAAAACUAAAAAAGGUUGAACAAAUUAUCUCAACCUUGAGGAAGGAAGCUAUUUUAAAAGCAUGAACUAAAGUAUAUUUUGGGAGUAGUAUUGAGCAGCGAUGUUGGGAUGAGAGUUCAUAUUGACUCAAGUCUCCAUAUAAAACAUAUAGCCAUCAUGGGUAUUAACGGGUCAUACGUUUGAGAUGAUCACGUAAGUUUAGCCAGUAGAUCAACUAGGUUGAAUAUGUUCAAUGCGACGACAAAGUAUAGGAUAAUUUUGGCAGCGUGGAUGAGACGUUGUAUCACCACUUAGGCUCAUAGUGGGGUUUUCGGUUAGAGAAACUCCCACGGAACUAUAUUUACUUUUCUAUAUAAGUAAAGUUAGGUUUGCUACUGAAUGAGAGUUUUCUUUAGGUUGGUAUGGUUUCAUUGAAUGGGUGUUUUCUUUUCGGCCAAACCCAUCGGUGACCCCCUAAAAUAGGCAUCAAGUUCCACUUAAUUUUUUUCAUAGUUUUAUUGCUGAAAAGUUUACCAAAUCCUUCAAAUGUUGGUUAUUCUAUUUUCACCUCAUCUAUUUGAGUAAUUUUUUUCAGGUUCAAUUUUAAAAAUACUGAUUUUCUACUUCUCAAAGUUUUUGAUUUAAUCUAUUUUGAUGAACCUAUUUCAAGUAAAUUCAUAAAUAUAUCUGAUUUUAUCAUGGAUAAAUUUUUAGGGUACUUUAAAACUUUCAAAACAAACAGUUCCAAUGGUGAAGGUGAUUGAAGAAAAAAAAGAAGAAGAUGAAUUUGAAGGAUUGAAUAGAUGAUAACAAUAUGAUAGUUAGAUUACAGGUAUUUGCUUAUGACCCAUUGGUUAUAUAUAUUUGAAAAAAAGAAGAAGAUGAUAGUAGUGAUAAUCUUCAAGCUUGAAGAAGAAGACAUCAAAGUAAUAGUGGUUAGAGGAGGAGGAGAUGUGGAAAUGCUGGAGGAGAAAAAUAAAGGUGUUGUAAUUUUUAUCUUUUUCUUUUUUCUUAUUUAUUGAAAAGUAAUUUUUAAAGUAAUUAAUUAAUUAAAUAGUUUUAAAAUUAGUUUUAAUUCAAAAUAUAUUUUAAAAAUAUUUUUUAUAUAUAUGUCACAUAUUAUUUAAUUCGCUAUUUUAACACAUCCUCAACGAGUGUAAUACAAACAUCCUACAUAUUUGGCUGAUUGUAAAAAAUAUGUCAAUAUGACACAAUGUCCUCCUACUUAAGGUGUUUAAAAUGAAUAAGGCCUACUUGAAGUGGACGAGGUGUCCAAGUGAAAAUUGAUAACAACUCUAGGUGGCUACCGAUGCGUUGGACCUUUCUUGUUGGAGUAUUCACUAUAUAAAAUAAAAGAAUUAUCUUGAUAAUUCAUCACCAAGUACAGUCUUUUAAUAAACUGUACUUAAAUUUGAUUAGAGACUAAUUUUCAUUAUUCAGAUAUAAAAUAUGUUCACCCUAAUUUUUAUUUUUUCACAAUUAAGUUUCAUUUGUUUUCAUUGAGAUUAAUACAUAUGAAUUUGAAGGACAUUUGAAUGAUGUAGAUAUUUUCUCUAAUUCUUAAUAAUGAACGACUAAAAUGUUAUCUAUGACGGUGGUGAUAGUUAUGGUCAGUGGAGGAGCCAAAAAGUUCGUUUAGAGUGUUCAAAAUUUAAAAUAGUCGAUAAUCUUUUUUUAGCAGAGUAGGUGCAAAAAAUAUUUAUUUAUUUUUACGGAUGAGUGGAUACACUUAAUUUUUAAAAUUAAAUUAUAUAUCACUUAAUAACUACGUCAUUCGAAAACUUAAAAUUAUUAAACUAACAAUGGUAUAAAUCAAAAUUUAAAUGGAGAAUUUUUUUCUAAAAAAAAAUCAAUUUUAGCUACUAGCUGAAUUUACUCCCUCUAGUUCCUAUUAAGUGAAUUAUUGAGACUUUUCUCGUGAAAAACUAUCUAAAUGAUUUAAAGUUCAAACAGUAAUUGAAACUUUUUUUUUAACACAUUUACCUUUUUUCUUUUUAUAAGAUUCCUAACUACUUUAUAUUUUCUGGAAGAAUACAUUAGAAGUAAUCAAAAGUAUAAUAGUGGUAAUAAUCUUUAAUUUUAUCUUUAUGAUAUUCUAUUGAUAGUGUUUUAUACCUAAUAAUUCACUUAAUAUAUAUUGAAACUAUUAAGAAAAUAAUAAAAUACUAAUUAUUAGGUUAAUCAAAAUUUAAGGCUAGAAACAUAAAGAAAAAAAAGGAACUGCUAAUGGCUAUUUCUGUAAAACAGAUUGUGUUAAAAAACUUAGCUACUGAGGAUUGAAAGACGGACCUCAAAGACAAUUAUACGCACGCUUACCACUAGAUUACGAGCCACUAUUAUGCAUAAGCGUUUUCGAUGUAUUAUAUAUCUACAUAUUAGAUAAUAUUUUACCUAUAUUUACUGUAUAAUUUUCCGAUGAAGGGUGUUCGGCUG